UAGGGAAUCUUCCACAAUGGACGCAAGUUUGAUGGAGCAACGCCGCGUGAGUGAAGAAGGUUUUCGGACCGUAAAGCUCUGUUGUUGGUGAAGAAGGAUAGAGGUAGUAACUGGCCUUUAUUUGACGGUAAUCAACCAGAAAGUCACGGCUAACUACGUGCCAGCAGCCGCGGUAAAUCGUAGGUGGCAAGCGUUGUCCGGAUUUAUUGGGCGUAAAGCGAGCGCAGGCGGAAGAAUAAGUCUGAUGUGAAAGCCCUCGGCUUAACCGAGGAAUUGCAUCGGAAACUGUUUUCUUGAGUGCAGAAGAGGAGAGUAGAACUCCAUGUGUAGCGGUGGAAUGCGUAGAUAUAUGGAAGAAUACCAGUGGCGAAGGCGGCUCUCUGGUCUGCAACUGACGCUGAGGCUCGAAAGCAUGGGUAGCGAACAGGAUUAGAUACCCUGGUAGUCCAUGCCGUAAACGAUGAGUGCUAAGUGUUGGGAGGCUUCCGCCUCUCAGUGCUGCAGCUAACGCAUUAAGCACUCCGCCUGGGGGAGUACGACCGCAAGGUUGAA
rnacentral:rRNA from 1 species